GCAGAACCAUUCCAAACCCCCAGAUGCCUGCCCAGAGCAAGGAACUUGAGCCUCUGGGCUCGUUUGUGCAUGAAGACCCCAUCUAGGUGGCCUGUCUCCACAGAGCGGAUCUCUAUGGCCUUCUCACCCCAGCCCAUUAUCUGGUUGGAGCAGAUGUAGGCUGAAGAGAGAAGAUGGUGGAAGGGCUGUAAGGAGGUUUCAGUCCUAGUCACCUCGGAACAAGCAGCUUGGGGUGGCUCUUCACUUACCCACAGAGGUGGGCAUCUCUCCCCACUGCAGCACCACAUCCUUGAUGAUCCGCCCGUAAGUGUUGACAUAGACACCCUCAUCUUCAUAGCACAGCAGCAUCUCCAUGCCAUCAGUGUUGGGGAGGAAGAUGAUGGCGUGGGGUGUGAUCUGGCUCUGGAUCUAGGGAGAAGAAGGUGGACUGGGUGGGGUCCUCAUGUCUGAUGACCAGAAUGGGUUGGUCUCCCUCGCCCCAUAGCCCUGCUAAGCUCACAUGUACAGGGAUGUAGAUGUCAUAGCUGUUCCCAGAAUCAACAUCCACAGCAUGGAAGCCAGCACUGGAGCCAUAGAUGACCUUGAGCCGCUGUCCCUCCUCUACUGUCAGGUCCACCAGUAGAGGGCGGUGAGGGAGGUCAGCAAAGGACUGUGGAGGAGAGAAGGCUCAGGGAAGACAGGUGCAGGAGCGUUCGGAACCUGGGAACAUACUGGUGGCUGAGGCGGGGAUUACCUUGAAGGCCAUGAAUUUGUGGUAGGGUUUGGGAGCCCAGGCAUAAACCUCCACGGAGUUCUUCAGGGCAAUGACCAGGAACUUAAUCCGUUCAUAUUUCACUGGAGGGCAGGAAAGGGGAGACGCAGUGACUUCCACUGUCAGCUUGAGGAUCUCAGUAGUUAGCCCAGACCUUGCUGCUCCCUGGCUACUGUGCUGUGGCAUCCUCACCAACACGGUAGUGGCCGCAGCCCUCCAUGUCCCCCACGGUGGUCCACCCCUGCUUCUUUUCCACCUCUGGGUCAUUGUGUAGGAUCUUGUUCCGAAGCCAGGACAGGUAAUAUACCCGCAGUUUGUUCCUUUUCCCUGUGAG
rnacentral:lncRNA from 1 species